ensembl:lncRNA
AAAUGGUAAAAUUGAGACCACAUUACUCUGCAAAGUCUUUGAUUUAAUCGUAGUUGAACUUUCUAACCUCCUGUUUAGGUUUAAGGUCUCAAUCUACCCCAGUUGAGCUCAAAGUUGCCACAAGAGUUGAUGCACACACUGUCACAGUGUCACGGAGAACAGUGUUGAUCUUGGCGGUGACUAGCCUGUGCAUUGUCCUGACUGGUGUGUCUGCACUCUGUCUCAUCUGGACAUGUCGUAUGUGAUAUUCAUGACAUUUCAUUCAUAGAAUAGCUCUAGGAAAACACAUUAAUGCUCAAGGCAAUGCAUUCAUUGCCAAUUAUAUCUCAAAAAGUCACCAGAUGGU